rnacentral:rRNA from 1 species
UUAAGUCCCGCAACGAGCGCAACCCUUGUCAUUAGUUGCUCGAAAGGGCACUCUAAUGAGACUGCCGGUGACAAACCGGAGGAAGUGGGGAUGACGUCAAGUCCUCAUGGCCCUUAUAGGUGGGGCUACACACGUCAUACAAUGGCUGGUACAAAGGGUUGCCAACCCGCAGGGGGAGCCAAUCCCAUAAAGCCAGUCGUAGUCCGGAUCGCAGUCUGCAACUCGACUGCGUGAAGUCGGAAUCGCUAGUAAUCGUGGAUCAGCAUGUCACGGUGAAUACGUUCCCGGGUCUU